AAGCUAAACGGAGGAACAUGGACGU
rnacentral:piRNA from 1 species